rnacentral:rRNA from 1 species
UAGGGAAUAUUGCACAAUGGAGGAAACUCUGAUGCAGCGACGCCGCGUGAGUGAUGAAGGCCUUCGGGUCGUAAAGCUCUGUCGCAGGGGAAUAAGCAAGUGAAUGUACCCUGAAAGAAAGGAUCGGCUAACUUCGUGCCAGCAGCCGCGGUAAGACGAGGGAUCCAAGCGUUGUUCGGAAUUAUUGGGCGUAAAGCGGGUGUAGGUGGCUUUGUAAGUCAGGUGUGAAAGCCCAGGGCUCAACCCUGGAAGUGCAUUUGAUACUGCGAAGCUUGAGUGUAGGAGAGGUUACUAGAAUUCUUGGUGUAGUGGUGAAAUACGUAGAUAUCAAGAGGAAUACCGGAGGCGAAGGCGGGUAACUGGCCUAACACUGACACUCAGACCCGAAAGCGUGGGGAUCAAACA